rnacentral:rRNA from 1 species
GCUAAACGCGAAGAACCUUACCUACCCUUGACAUGUCUGGAAUCCCGAAGAGAUUUGGGAGUGCUCGCAAGAGAACCGGAACACAGGUGCUGCAUGGCUGUCGUCAGCUCGUGUCGUGAGAUGUUGGGUUAAGUCCCGCAACGAGCGCAACCCUUGCCAUUAGUUGCUACAUUCAGUUGGGCACUCUAAUGGAACUGCCGGUGACAAACCGGAGGAAGGUGGGGAUGACGUCAAGUCCUCAUGGCCCUUAUGGGUAGGGCUUCACACGUCAUACAAUGGUCGGGACAGAGGGUUGCCAAGCCGCGAGGCGGAGCCAAUCUCAGAAACCCGAUCGUAGUCCGGAUCGCAGUCUGCAACUCGACUGCGUGAAGUCGGAAUCGCUAGUAAUCGCGGAUCAGCAUGUCGCGGUGAAUACGUUCC